AUUCCUCCAGCUUCAGCACUC
rnacentral:misc_RNA from 1 species